CACGAACGCUGGCGGCGUGCCUAAUACAUGCAAGUCGAGCGCAGGAAGCCGACGGAACCCUUCGGGGGGAAGUCGACGGAAUGAGCGGCGGACGGGUGAGUAACACGUAAAGAACCUGCCCUCAGGUCUGGGAUAACCACGAGAAAUCGGGGCUAAUACCGGAUGGGUCAUCGGACCGCAUGGUCCGAGGAUGAAAGGCGCUUCGGCGUCGCCUGGGGAUGGCUUUGCGGUGCAUUAGCUAGUUGGUGGGGUAAUGGGCCACCAAGGCGACGAUGCAUAGCCGACGUGAGAGGGUGAUCGGCCACACUGGGACUGAGACACGGCCCAGACUCCUACGGGAGGCAGCAGUAGGGAAUCUUCCACAAUGGACGAAAGUCUGAUGGAGCAACGCCGCGUGAACGAUGAAGGCCUUCGGGUCGUAAAGUUCUGUUGUAAGGGAAGAACAAGUGCCGCAGGCAAUGGCGGCACCUUGACGGUACCUUGCGAGAAAGCCACGGCUAACUACGUGCCAGCAGCCGCAGUAAAAC
rnacentral:rRNA from 1 species